rnacentral:tRNA from 1 species
GCCGGGCUAGUUCAGUCGGUAGAGCAUGAGACUCUUAAUCUCAGGGCCGUGGGUUCGAGCCCCACGUAGGGCG